CAACUUUCAACAACGGAUCUCUUGGCUCUCGCAUCGAUGAAGAACGCAGCGAAAUGCGAUAAGUAAUGUGAAUUGCAGAUUUUCAGUGAAUCAUUGAAUCUUUGAACGCACCUUGCGCUCCUUGGUAUUCCGAGGAGCAUGCCUGUUUGAGUGUCAUUA
rnacentral:rRNA from 1 species